UGGGCAUCCCGCAGUGACCAAGACAGACCUGGUCUGGCCCUCUCAGAGCUCACCCUCUGCUGACGACGGCAGGCACCGAGAGCAUCAUGACCCCAUCGUUCAGCAUGUUGCAGUCCUGACGGGCACUAAGGAGAGGGCUGCGCAGACCACGGGGAGGACUUUGAACUUCGCCCUGAGAGCAGUUUGAAGCCACUGGAGGAGUUUAGACGGGGGAAUGACACGAUUCCACUUAUGUUUUGAAAACAGUCCUCUGGCUGUGGGGUCAAGGGCAUGAGCAGCAGCAGAAAGCAGCUUGGAGUUUGUGAUGGGGACAUGUUUCCACAGUGGGCUUCCUCCUGGACCACGCUGGUUUACUAACGGCCCUUCCGAAGCUUGUCAAGAGGCCUGGUCUUCACAGCUACUGGCUGCAGCCCUACCCUAGACACUAGGUUCUGUUAAUGCAGCCCAGGGCUGCCCUUGCAUUUAUAGGCCUGCAGGCUGCUGCUAAGCAUGGGAUCAGCCAAGCCCCCUGGAUCUGUGUGAGGGGUGCUUUGAACCCAAGAGCCUACAAGGGAAGCUGGGGCCGUGUCUGCUGCCUCUGAGGAAGGAAGUCUGGCUUUGAACAUCUUUGGGAAGCUGGACGCCUGCCUCAUGGGCCAUGCCUGGAGCAACACUGCCCCCUCAUGGCCUGCUCUUCAGGUGCAGUCAGUGGAUGUUCGGUGAACUCAGAGCUGCCCUGGGAACUCCACCCGCCUGGCCUGAGGUCCACAGAGCUGCCCUCAAGAACCCCACCUCUUUCCCCUCUGGAGGUCCAUAGAGCUCAGAACUGUCCUCAGGGAACCCCACUCCAUCUCUCCUGAGGUCCACAGAGCUGUCCUCUGGCAGCCCACCCCACCUUCCUUGAGGUCUACAGGCUGCCUCUCAGUCUGCCGUCACCCGAGUUCUUGCCUGUCUUUGGCAGCCUGUCAGUCUGUCUUCAGCUGUGUGUACCUGGGAGUGUCUCUCUUUUGGGCUUGUGUUAGCCUUUGCUGCCUGGGCAUAUCUGUCUAUCUGUCCUGCUGGCUUGGGCCGCCUGUCUCUCUGUGUCUGUGAUCAGCACCUCCUCUCUCUCUUUCCAUUGAUCUCCACCUCACUCUGCCCAGGUCCCUGUUUCUGCUGCUUUGUCUCUGACUUGCUCCCUGCAGCCCUCCGCUGUCCGUGUCCUGGAGCUUGGGUCAUGGCUGCCUUCCCUCCAGUGUGGGACUGAUUUGGCUUUUUCUGCGAUGAGUCAGGAACUCCUGGAGGGAUGAGGGCUCUGGCCCCGCCCAGCAGUGGCCUCAGAGAGGAUGCAGGAGGCAGGAGGAGCUUUGGGCCUGGCCGAGGACUGUGACAAGAGAUUUUCCAAAAUAUUCUCCUGGGGCUGGGGUGGGUGGAUUCCAGCAGAUGUCUAAGGAGAAUGAGCGAGCUGGCUGUCCACCAGCGUGGAGCUGUGCUGUGGGGCUGUUCUCGCUGCUGCCUGUGUACAGGGCUUUCCUAAUCUCCUCAAUCCUCACCUGGCUUUCUGUCUCCUCAGGGCCUUAGCACAAAUUGUUUCUCCUUCUUGGAAUAAUCUUCCCCCUGAACCCUCACCUUAGAAACCACUUCCUCUAGGAAGUCUUCCCUGAUUUACACCCUCUGGGAUGGGGCCCUCCUCUGUGCCAGGACAGCGCCCUCUACUUCAUCAGUGUUACCUGGUUACGGUCUGCCUGCCCGCCUUGUGUGUCUGUUGCUGUAUCUUCAGUGUGUGGCUCUUUCUGGCUUUCAGUAAAUACCUGUUGCAAGAACAUUCGGGAGUCCCAUCUGAUUUCACCAAAUGUUGCCUCCUCCUUGAAGCCUCCUCUCCCCUCUCUUCUCUUAGGACUGUGCUGCCCAAUAUUGUAGCCAUUAGUUACUUGUGACUAUUUACAUUUAAACUAAGUAAAAUUAAGAAUUCAGUUCCUCAGUAACGAUAGACCCAUUUCGAAUGCCCAGUGUCCACAUGUGGCUAGUGGCUACUGACCGACUGGACAGUGCAGAAACAGAACAUUGGCGUCAUGACAGACGGUCCUGUUGGUCAGCACCGUCUUAGGAC
rnacentral:lncRNA from 1 species